GAUGAACGCUGGCGGCGUGCCUAAUACAUGCAAGUCGAGCGAACAGAUGAGGAGCUUGCUCCUCUGACGUUAGCGGCGGACGGGUGAGUAACACGUGGAUAACCUACCUAUAAGACUGGGAUAACUUCGGGAAACCGGAGCUAAUACCGGAUAAUAUAUUGAACCGCAUGGUUCAAUAGUGAAAGACGGUUUUGCUGUCACUUAUAGAUGGAUCCGCGCCGCAUUAGCUAGUUGGUAAGGUAACGGCUUACCAAGGCAACGAUGCGUAGCCGACCUGAGAGGAUGAUCGGCCACACUGGAACUGAGACACGGUCCAGACUCCUACGGGAGGCAGCAGUAGGGAAUCUUCCGCAAUGGGCGAAAGCCUGACGGAGCAACGCCGCGUGAGUGAUGAAGGUCUUCGGAUCGUAAAACUCUGUUAGUAGGGAAGAACAAAUGUGUAAGUAACUAUGCACGUCUUGACGGUACCUAAUCAGAAAGCCACGGCUAACUACGUG
rnacentral:rRNA from 1 species